ACUACGGGUGGCAGCAGUGGGGAAUAUUGGGCAAUGGGCGCAAGCCUGACCCAGCAACGCCGCGUGGAGGAAGAAGGCUUUCGGGGUGUGAACUUCUUUUCUCAGGGACGAAGAAAGUGACGGUACCUGAGGAAUAAGCCACGGCUAACUACGUGCCAGCAGCGGCGGUAAUACGUAGGUGGCAAACGUUAUCCGGAUUUAUUGGGUGUAAAGGACGAGGAUGCGGGAGCGCAAGGCAGAGGUGAAAACGGAGGGCUCAACCCUGAGCCUGCCUUUGAAACUGUGUUUCUUGAGUGCUGGAGAGGCAAUCGGAAUUCCGUGCGUAGCGGUGAAAUGCGUAGAUAUACGGAGGAACACCAGUGGCGAAGGCGGAUUGCUGGACAGUAACUGACGCUGAGGCGCGAAAGCGUGGGGAGCAAACAGGAGUAGAUACCCUUGUAGUC
rnacentral:rRNA from 1 species